GACGAACGCUGGCGGCGUGCUUAACACAUGCAAGUCGAGCGGAAAGGCCCUGAUUUUGUUGCGCUCACGAUUGCCGCACGGGUGUGUAACACGUGAGUAUCCUGCCCUUGUCUGUGGGAUAAAUUUUGGAGAAAGCGGCUAUUAUAGGGUAGGAGAUACUGCUGCACGGUGUGGGAUGGUAAGAUUCGGCGGUUGGGGAUGGACUCGCGGCUUAUCCGCCUGUUGGUGGGGUUGGUGCUUACCAGGGCUUUGACGGGUAGCCGGCCUGAGAGGGUGGACGGCCACAUUGGGACUGAGAGACGGCCCAGACUACUACGGGAGGCAGCAGGGGGGAAUAUUGCACAAUGGGCGGAAGCCUGAGGCAGCAACGCCGCGUGCGGGAUGACGUCCUUCGGGUUGUAAACCGCUUUCGGCUGUGACGAAGCGUGAUUGACGGUAAUGGGUAAAGAAGCACCGGCUAACUACGUG
rnacentral:rRNA from 1 species